AGUGAACGCUGGCGGUAGGCCUAACACAUGCAAGUCGAACGGUAGCACAGUAAGAGUUUGCUUUUCCGGGUGGCGAGUGGCGGGCGGGUGAGGAAUACAUCGGAAUCUACUUUUUCGUGGGGGAUAACGUAGGGAAACUUACGCUAAUACCGCAUACGCCCUACGGGUGAAAGCAGGGGAUCUUCGGACCUUGCGCGCUUGAGUUAGCCGAUGUCGGAUUAGCUAGUUGGCGGGGUAAAGGCCCACCAAGGCGACGAUCCGUAGCUGGUCUGAGAGGAUGAUCAGCCACACUGGAACUGAGACACGGUCCAGACUCCUACGGGAGGCAGCAGUGGGGAAUAUUGGACAAUGGGCGCAAGCCUGAUCCAGCCAUACCGCGUGUAUGAAGAAGGCCUUCGGGUUGUAAAGCCCUUUUGUUGGGAAAGAAAAGCAUCAGGCUAAUACCCCGCUGUUCUGACGGUACCCAAAGAAUAAGCACCGGCUAACUUCGUG
rnacentral:rRNA from 1 species